rnacentral:rRNA from 1 species
GAUGAACGCUAGCUACAGGCUUAACACAUGCAAGUCGAGGGGUAACGAGAGGAAAGCUUGCUUUCCUUGUCGACGACCGGCGCACGGGUGAGUAACGCGUAUCCAACCUGCCCCCAACUAGGGAAUAACCUUGCGAAAGUAAGACUAAUACCCUAUAAUUUCCUCAGAUGACAUCUGACGAGGAAUAAAGAUUUAUCGGUUGUGGAUGGGGUUGCGUCUGAUUAGCUUGUUGGCGGGGUAACGGCCCACCAAGGCAACGAUCAGUAGGGGUUCUGAGAGGAAGGUCCCCCACAUUGGAACUGAGAAACGGUCCAAACUCCUACGGGAGGCGGCAGUGAGGAAUAUUGGUCAAUGGGCGGAAGCCUGAACCAGCCAAGUAGCGUGCAGGAUGACGGCCCUAUGGGUUGUAAACUGCUUUUAUACAGGAAUAAAGUUAGCCACGUGUGGUUAUUUGUAGGUACUGUAUGAAUAAGGACCGGCUAAUUCCGUGCCAGCCGCCGCGGUAA